UACGGAGGGGGCUAGCGUUGUUCGGAAUUACUGGGCGUAAAGCGCACGUAGGCGGCUUUGUAAGUUAGAGGUGAAAGCCCGGGGCUCAACUCCGGAAUUGCCUUUAAGACUGCAUCGCUAGAAUCAUGGAGAGGUUAGUGGAAUUCCGAGUGUAGAGGUGAAAUUCGUAGAUAUUCGGAAGAACACCAGUGGCGAAGGCGACUAACUGGACAUGUAUUGACGCUGAGGUGCGAAAGCGUGGGGAGCAAACAGGGAUUAAGAA
rnacentral:rRNA from 1 species